UGGGUAACCUGCCUCAAAGAGGGGAAUAGCCUCCCGAAAGGGAGAUUAAUACCGCAUAAUAUGUUUAAGUCGCAUGACUUUAACAUCAAAGGAUUUUCUUUUAAGAAAUUCCACUUUGAGAUGGACCCGCGGCGCAUUGGCUAGUUGGUGAGGUAACGGCUCACCAAGGCAACGAUGCGUAGCCGACCUGAGAGGGUGAUCGGCCACAUUGGAACUGAGACACGGUCCAGACUCCGUAGGGAGG
rnacentral:rRNA from 1 species